AACAAGUACUUCAAAAACAACAAUGUGAAUGCGUUGAAUGAGGAUGAAGUAGAGAUUCAACCUGCUCAUGUUAAUGAAGUAGAUAGUGCGGAUGAAGAAGUGAGUCAACCUGACUAUGUUAAUGAAGUAGAUGAUAAAGAAGAAGAAGUGAUGAAACCCGCCUCUAAUAAUGAAGAAGAUGAUAAGGAAGAAGAGGGUUCCUUUUCUUUAAAUUUGGAUGAUCCCGGGAAUUGGAAAAUCAUUGAUUAGAAAAC
rnacentral:lncRNA from 1 species